rnacentral:lncRNA from 1 species
GCGUUCCAAGAUGGACUGCCGGAGAAAGGCUUUUUGACCCCUGUGGAAAUUAGUCAUAUUGACAGACGCCCAGGGAAGAUGGUGUCCCAGGACUGCAAGUAACUGCGUACAUCCACACAGCGCAUUACACCAACCUGAGAAGAAUCCUUGCGUGACCGGAUUGUUUCUGGUAUAAAAUAGGGCCUAACGGUCCCAUCUCUUUUCUUUUAAAAAACUGAGUCUGUGGAGGGGGCUUAUUGGAAAGCAUCAAAAGAGUGGCAUCUGAUUUUCUGAUUUUACCGGAGAUUGGACUGGAGGUCUUCUUUACUAAGAGUAACAGGCGUAGCCACAAAAGAGCCUGGUCUGGUCGCAAAGUAAAGGCAAAACUAGUGUGGGCCCUUAGCCUCGCCGGCCCCGGCCCUCGGAAUGCAAAAGGCGAAAGCUCCCUCCUGGGCAGGGCCAGAGCGAGAGCGAGUGAGGAGCUCCUCCCGGACCUCGGGCCUAGCUUCGGAGGUAUUUUUAGCUCCUCUCUCUGCUCCCCAGAGGCUCUUUUGUAAGCUUAACAGAGGCUCAGCAAGCUGCCCUCACCCCGAAGGGCUGUGGGAGGAGGCUGCCCUAGUAUCUUGAAGAAAAAAGAAAUUGCCUAUCCUUAAGUUUAAAACAAUAUUCGCUCUCUCUAGGCUCCCCUUCUGUUCUCUCGUUUUUUUCGCCCGCAGGAACACUCCAAGUUCCACAGUUAAAGAGGACCGGGAGGGCAGGAAUGGGUGGGGCCUGGAAAUCAGCUCCGAAACUGGGUGCGGCACACCUUCCUCUGCCUUUCUGCCUCUCUCCCGGCCACUGCUGCUCCACGGGAGCCAGUCUUGGAUACCUAGGGUGGGGGACAGGGGGACGGGAAGAGCCUCGGUUGUCUCCAGAACCUGCCGAGCCCCUGCUGCAUCUGGGACCCGCCUUCACCGUUUCCCAAUCCCAGCGGUUAGCCCCUGCGCCCCCUUUUUGGUCUCCACUUUGCCGUUCGAAAAUGCCUAGGUUGGUGGAUCGACCCUCCGCGGAGCAAAGACGGAUGGCUGGCAGGAGCAGGUUCAGGAGCUGGGCCAAGGAGUGUUUGGCCCGGCGGUCCACCCCGGCUUCCCGAGAUACGCUAGAGUUGCCCCCACGUCCUGUCCGCCGCGCCCCUACCCACCGGGUUGCCUUCGGGGCCCUUCGGUGCUGUGUAGUCGGCGUGGCGCUGUGAGCUAGGCGAACAGGAACCCCCAGGCCCGCCACGUCUACGCUAUUAGCAGCCAGGUAGCCCUGCGGGUCGAAGAUGCUCAGAGGAGGAGUAAAUGCAGAGAAAAAAUAGAGGAAGGAAUAAAAAAAAAAACAAAACAAAAACACGUAACAUACACGCACUCAAAACCAACUUUGGGAUUGGACUUUUUCAGUUUCACACGAAGAGACUUGGAGUAUCUGGAGAAGGUUUUUGAAGACGUUUAGGAGGGAGGGUGAGUUUUCUGCUGAGAAACUCAAUCUGCCAUACAGUAGCGGCCCCAUCUGGGAUCUGUCACUGCUGACAGCACCAGAGGGCACAGCCGUGAUCUUCUGCACAGCCUGCACUCCCCGAAAUACCCUCCUUAAUCAAAGGAUGUCUGCGCGCCUGAGCUCAGCUGACCGCGCCGGGAGCACCAGGGCCGUUGGAUUCCACCCCAGCCCGCCCCCUCCCCACGCACACAGCCACGGCCCCUCGCGUCUUCGCGGCACGUUAAUUAAAUGCGGAAAACAGACAGAGGCUGAUGUCAUUGCUCUCACAAGAUCAUAAACGUAAAAGAGUCAUCCUGUGAGAAUCCCUGAAAAUGACUUUAAUGAAUAAUUUCAGAGACAGUUAUGACUUUGGGUGAUUACUGAGCAAGAAUAUGAAAACCAGAUUUGCAAAGCGAAGGCGAUGGUCAAAAGGCCUGGCAGUUACUUUCUCUCAUUAAAACCGCACCGGCUUUCCUUCUUCGCCAAGUACUAGUUACCAACUGAGGUUGCGUUUUCAGGUUUUCUUCUUCAAAAUAACAGUCUUCUUUUCCUGCUUUUCUGCCUUAUCCUAAAGACAAAAUGUCAGCUCCAGGGAACGACAUUAACAACCCACUUUAAAUUGAAGGCAACUCUGCACUGGCGUCAGUGGCCAUUGGCUUCCAUCUUUUUACAAAGGUUGGAUUUACUGCCAUCUUAGGAUCAUAUCUCUUUUGGCCUCUUCUCUAGGCAAUGUAUUUAAUGAAGGUUGAACAUUCUCACUGACCCUGAGUCAGUGCACUGUUUGUUGUAAAGGAUCUCAGCUGGUGGGGCAAAAAACAAGUUCCAAACAACCUGCCUUUACAGAAGAGUCUCCCUGACUCUUUAGUUCUAGGUCACCAAUGAACUGAAAAAUGAUUUGGUGCUACAUUAAGGAAUAUUUUCAAACACUCCAUCUGGCCAUGGAGAAGCAUCCAGUUGGUUAUAUCUGGUUGCUCAUGCAUUAAAAAUACUAUUUGAGAAAACAACUAGGGUGUUAGUUGUGGAAGUGGCCUGGUGAGUACCCUCUGAUCUUUUGCACGAAGUUUAGCUGCCUGCAAGUCUGUCUUCUUUGCUUGAAAAUAUAAACUGGGACUCUCUGGGCCUGUGUCCCAUGUGGAUUUAUUCCACUUAAUUCAAGUAAAAGUUUGUUUAUACUCUGAGCAAGAAAGUAUUAUAGGCACAAGUGAUGUGGAGUUUUCAGUUUGCUUGUUUUUUGCUGUUGUUUGUUUGCUUUUGAGCGAUCUGAGUGAUUUAGAAAACUAAUGUGUCUCAGUCGGCUCCACCAUUCAGACAGAUCAUAGAGAACCCACUUACCAGCACUCUAGAAAACUGUACUUUGUGCAGACAUUGCCUGAUCCUCCCCUUUCUAGAAGCACAGAUAGGCCAGAAUCCUUCAGUCACUGAGGACACAAUUGUCUAAAAGCCUCAUUCCCUAUCAUUAGCCCCCAAACCGCAGAGCUGUUUCCUUCCCUCUUGGCUCCAGAUAGGGGUGGGUGGGAGAGGGGACUAGGCUCUCCAUGUGACAUUUCCCUGACUUGAGAGGAAAUGUUUCUUUCUGAUUCUAGAUUACAUGAAGACACUUUGGAGUUGGUGUAUAGGGUUUCCUCAAAGAACUGAGGUAACGUGGACUUUAGGGAAUUUUCCUCAAUUGGAUUCCCUGUUUAUUUGUGAUACUAUUUGUGUCCCCCAAAUAGAUCUUCUUGUUGCUCCACUCACAUCAUGAGCAGUUUUCCUUUUCCUCUAGUUACAUUCACUCUAGCUUCUGACUGAAGACUCUGCUUGCCCUUUGUAGCCCGUGCAGGAAUAAACAGCAUCUUCUGGA